UAUUAACUAAUAUAUUCAUAUUUGGUGUCUAGCAAAACCAAUGUACUAUGUUAUAUAAUUUUUCCAUAGAUGUGUAACCAAAAUUUUGGUCAGACCCUGCAGAGCUUAUUUUUCUUUUUUGUGUGAUUUAUACCUCGUGUGUGUUUGAACACACAGUUUAUAUUAAUUAUCCAAAUGAUAAUCUGUUCUGUAGUCUUUGUUGCCUUGACACAAGUCAAACCUCCAUGUAGAUAUUGGCAUAGACUUCUACUGCUUUAAUUCAACAUUAGCACACUGUUAACCUAUAGUGACAUAGAUGAAUUUAUGAUCUUGUUAACCUAUAGUGACUUCAGUUUAUACAUGUUUUACUUUGACAAAUGCAUCCUCGUUAUCACUAUUCAUAACUUGUUAAUACUGCAAUGGUAGCUACUUAAACAAGUGAUCUAUAUUAUUCUUCUCUUAGCUAGUUUUUAUUAUCUAUUUUUCAUGUAUCUAGUACUUAUGUGAUUCUUUUCAUUUAUUACUAGUUAAUCACUUCUCUUUGAGCGAUGGAAACAGUGGGUGAUUCUAGAUCAAGUUCAAAAGAGAAGAGAUCAUUUGAGGUAAUUUCAAAUCUAGAAUUCUCAAUCCUAAAUUGUUUGGGAUUCUCAUCUUCUAAAUAUUUUUUCCCUUUUGUCUCAGCAUGUUUUAUUUUAUUUUGUUUGGUGAAUGAAAAGAAAAAGUCAGAAAUUAAUUAUGACCUAGAAUAGAAGUGGAACUGGAGAAUUAUCCUUCAUCCUUCCUGUUAUUAUCGUUCAACUCUUAACAAAAUUUAUGGAAAUUGGGAGAAGGUUUUUAGAGAAUUUUCUUUGAGAUAAUUGAGAAAGAAGUCUAUCAAUAGAAAAAUAAUAAAUAUUUUUCAAAUUAGGUUGAAAUUCAUAAAUAAGUCAGCGGGUGCUUCGACCAGUAUCUGAAAUUCUAAAAGUGGACAAGGGUCAUAAUGAAAGAACUAUAACAUAGUCCUCCUGUAUUUUCCUGAGAAUCAGAUGAAGAAGAUAAAGUUUCUUUGUUAGGAAAAAGAAACCGCCUUUUUUAUUAAUGGCCCUUUGACUCGUGUCAUGCAAUUAUAUCAGGAUUCAGGACAGAUUAUCUUCCAAGUCAAAUUGUAAUUACGUAGUUAACGCAACUGAGUUACUUGGAGAAAAAAAAAUGGUUCCAGCUAUUUUUGGUCAUGGUCAUUACUUGCUCUUAAGUGCCUCGCAAGUAUAUAGGCAUGAAAGGAAUUUCACCAUCAUCUUGUUGCAUCAGGUUGGCUUCAGAUCGGUUGUUGACUUACGCUUGAACAUUGCACCCUAUAAAUCGAUAAUGAGUUUUCUUGUUUUUGUAUCUUGCAGAAGUCUGAUAGUAUCACAUUUGCCUGAGUCUAAACACAAUUUGUUAGUAAUUUCUUUGUGUUUUUUCACUAGAUGUGAGUUUUUUCUUGAGAUGUAUAGAUCGUUGGAAGGCUGUAGAAUUUGUUCCGGGACAUUGAAUACAAACAUGCUAUUUCUUGAAAACAAGAGGUAAAGUCAAAAAAAUGUUAUCUUCUGUGAACUGGUUCAAAUUAUGCUUGUUUAUGAUAGUUUAUUAUUUCAAUGAAUAUGUUUAUUUUCCGGAUUGCUCACAUAUAUUUGUUUCAUGGAUUGGAGUUCUCCUUAGGUAGUUAAGUAGGUUGUUCUUCAAACACAGGUAAAAACCGAUCUUCUCGUUUGUAUCAAAACUGCAUCUCAGUUUUGCAUGAAAACAUAUGAUUGAUGUUGAAUUAGAAAAUAUGAGUUCACUGGUUAGCAUGUGAAUCAUUGUAUGUGCACAUGCAAAUUGGUUUAUCUUAAGUUAUAGAGGGAAUGUGUAGAGUUUAUAGUGUCCAGAUUGUUGUUUAACAUGUAAACAAACUUUAGUAUAUCAUGUAAACAAACUUUCAAGGUCUACUCUUUUAUGACUGGAUAAAAUAGCUUCAUCUAUUUUUUGCCUAUAUAUUAUCUUGCAUUUGAAUAACUAAUAAUCAGAGUUGAAAGAGUAUUAUGAAUCAUAAUAUAUUAGGUCUGUGAAAUAAAAUAUAAAUCUAAUGUCAAACAAUUCUCUUGAUCUGAAUGAACUAUGUAGUUGCUCAAAAGGAAGCUUAUGGUAUCUGCCAAGUAUUAUUCAAGCACAUGUUGUACGAACUGUUCAAUUAUGGUAGGUUUUAGGGUUUAUCCCUCGAGUUGUUUCAGAUAACUCUUUGGGCUUUUUGUGAAUUUGAGGGGAAAAAGGUAGCAUCUUGUCGGAUAUGUUCUUUACACCUUGCUAUAUCAAUGCUAAAAGAAUUUUUUUUUACUUGCCCCAUAAAUCAUUGUGUGUCUGUAUAAUUAUCACCUUUGACUUUUGCGUACUUGAUCUAUCAAAGUGUUUCAAAGAGUGUUUUUUUUCUUCUUGUCCUUUGUGCAAUUUCAGACGCAUCUUAAUAGUUCUACAUACAUUUCCCCCUUGAACUUUCAAUGUAGUGGAUUCAGGGGCCGGAGUGAUGGUGGCAGAGGCCGAGGAAGAUGAGGUAGAGGCCGAGGUGGUCCUGAAGGCCGGGGUGGUGGUGGAAGAGGACGCGGUGCUGGUCGAGGUGGUGGUGGAAGAGGGCGUGGUGGAGGUCGCGGUGGUGGCUGUGGAGGUGGAAUGAAAGGGAGGAAGCGAAGUAGUGGUUCAGCCGCAUUGGCAUGAUGGAGUCUUUGUUGCCAAGGGGAAGGAAGAUGCCCUUUGUACCAAGAACAUGGUUGUCGGUGAAUCCGUUUAUGGUGAGAAGCGCGUUGCUAUGCAGGUGUUUAAAAGAAUCCUCAAAGCAUAUGCAACAAAACUUUAUUCUCGAUUACCCAAGGGGGGUUCAGGGCUAGUUGCAGCUGCUACUGGUACAAAUGGGCAAAUCAAGGUUAUAUAAGCACUCUUUUACUUGUUGCUUGUUCCUAGUGAGUAUUUGACAGGUUCCUAGUGAAAUUGGCGAAAUUGGCGAUUGAGGCUGACAGGUUCCUAGUGAGUAUUUAACAUUGAGGCAUAAGUUUUUGGAAACAAAUAGAGGAUAUAAAGUCUUUGACCGAGAAGUUUCAUGUUUUGUAAUCAAAUGUUGAUGUUGUUUGAAUAUUAGUUCGGUACGAUAUUUUCUGAGCUGAAAUGUUGGUAGUGUGGAUUUUAUAUUUUGUAGUUUUUAUACUAUACCGAUGUAUGUUGGCACUUAUCAUUAUGGUUGAUUAUGCUCAACAUUUUCACUUUGA